GUGACUUAGCAUGGUGUUGGUAAAUUGGUGUGAGUGGUAAGUGGAAUUAAUUAUGUUGUGGAAGUAAUAAAUUAUAAGCAUAUUUUGAUAAAUAAAAUGGAGAAGAAGCGAAACAGCUUCUGGAGGUAAAGUGUACUAGGCAGCGCAUGAUGGUUGGGUAAGGGUGGUGAUUCUGAAACUGGUGUUGUUUUGUGUCUACUAAAUUUAUGGUAGCAUAAAAU
rnacentral:misc_RNA from 1 species